UUUAUUGAUUGAUUAUAAAUACACUAUUGUGCGCUCUAGGUGACAGCUGUUUCCCUAGCUGCCGCCUACCAGACCCAGGCUGACCAACAUACAAGGAAUAUACUCAGGAGGAGUAUCAACGACUACUACUCCAGCAGCUCCAACAGGAACGCGGUCACACUCAGCUGGGACCUCGUCAUGAGCCAGAUGCAGUGCUGUGGUGUGAAUAAUAUGUCUGAUUUCCAGACUGCUCAACAGUUUAUUAAACAAAAUAGAGACGAAAAUAGCAACAGUGUGGUCCCAGCAGCUUGUUGUAUACUGGAACCUGAUCUACCCCCCGGGGUUUACCGGCCAGUCGACGAAAAUUGUGAAACCUAUCCAACCAA